AUGGCGGAACCGGUGAAGCUCAUCGGCGCCUUCGGCAGCCCAUUCGUCCACCGCGCCGAGGUGGCCCUGCGCCUGAAGGGCGUCCCAUUCGAGCUCAUCCUUGAAGACCUCAACAACAAGAGCGAGCUGCUGCUGAAGCACAACCCCAUCCACAAGACGGUGCCGGUGCUCCUCCAUGGUGACCGGCCAGCCGUCUUAGAGUCCCUCCUCAUCGUCGAGUAUGUGGACGAGGCCUUCGACGGCCCGCCGCUCCUCCCCGCCGACCCCUACGAGAGGGCCAUGGCUCGCUUCUGGGCCCAAUUCAUCGAGCAAAAGUGCUCCAGGCCGUUCUGGAUGGCGGUGUGGCUGGACGACGGGGAGGCGUGGGAGGGGUUCGUGAGGGACACCAAGGAGAAUCUGGCGCUGCUGGAGGCGCGGCUGCAGGGGAAGCGGUUCUUCGCCGGAGACGCCGUUGGGUACCUGGACCUGGCGGCCUGCGGGCUGGCGCACCUGCUGGGCGUGAUCGAGCAGGUGGCCGGGGCGAGCCUUGUGGGCGCCGGCGAGUUCCCCGCGCUGCGCCGGUGGGCGGAGGACUACACCUCCGACGCGACCGUCGUCGCGUGCCUACCGCCGAGGGAGCAGCUCGCCGCACACUUCGCCGGGAAGAAGGACCGAAUCAAGCUCGCCGUCAACGCGAUGGUGGGGCGGGCGUAG
rnacentral:rRNA from 1 species